UAAUACGAAGGUCCCCGAGCGUUAUUCGGAAUCACUGGGCGUAAAGGGAGCGUAGGCGGCGUGGAAAGUCAGAUGUGAAAUCCCGGGGCUCAACCCCGGGAACUGCAUCCGAUACUACCAUGCUAGAGUAUUGGAGGGGUAACUGGAAUUCUCGGUGUAGCAGUGAAAUGCGUGGAUAUCGAGAGGAACACCUGUGGCGAAAGCGAGUUACUGGACAAUUACUGACGCUGAGGCUCGAAGGCUAGGGGAGCAAAAGGGAUUAGAUACCCCUGUAGUCCUAGCAGUAAACGGUGCACGCUUGGUUUGAGGGGAAUCGACCCCCUUCGAGCCGGAGCAAACGCGUUAAGCGUGCCGCCUGGGAAGUACGGUCGCAAGACUAAAACUCAAAGAAAUUGACGGGGACCCGCACAAGCGGUGGAGUAUGUGGCUUAAUUCGAUGCAACGCGAAGAACCUUACCUAGGCUUGACAUGCAUUCUAAGCCGGUGAAAGCCGGUGACCCUUCGGGGGACUUGCACAGGUGCUGC
rnacentral:rRNA from 1 species